rnacentral:rRNA from 1 species
AAUCCUUAGCNAGNNAGUGUAUGUAUUCAACAUUGGGCGNGUGGUUUAUAGGACUCACNGCUGAGCCGCUCGUUUUACAGCCUAAUACAUGCAAGUCGAGCGAAUGGAUUAAGAGCUUGCUCUUAUGAAGUAGCGGCGGACAGGGUGAGUAACACGUGGGUAACCUGCCCAUAAGACUAGGGAUAACUCCGGGAAACCGGGGCUAAUACCAGGAUAACAUUUAUGAACCGCAUGGUUCGAAAUUGAAAUGGCGGCUUCGAGCUGUCACUUAUGGAUGGACCCGCGUCGCAUUAGCUAGUUGUGUGAGGUAACGGCUCACCAAAGGCAACGAUGCGUAGCCAGACCUGAGAGGGUAGAUCGGCCAACACUGGGACUGAAGACGACGGCCCAAGACUCCUACGUGAGAGAGCCAAGCAAGUAGGGAAAUCUUUCCCGCAAUAGGACGAAACAGUCUAGACGGGAACAACAGCCGCAGUGGAGUGCAUGGACACGAGACUUUCCGGGNUACGUAAAACUUCAGUAGANCAACGGGGCACAGGAAAACCACAAGUGAGCCUAAAAGGUUAGGAAANCUAACGGCAUGGGACCAAACCCAUUAUAGAACCCGAGGUAACCCCUAAAGCCCACGNGAAAGAAGACCCACACAGGGAGUUAAACCUUAACGAGUUGACCCAGACAAAGCCCAGACGNGAUAAAAUAACGUGUUACGGGAUGAGCACAACGCAGGANUAACACUCCAACGGGAAAACUAAAUGGGGGNGCCGGAUUNUAUAAAGGCGGCNG